AACAACGCUGGCGGCGUGCUUAAUACAUGCAAGUCGAACGGAGCUAUUGACUUCGGUUGAUAGCUUAGUGGCGAACGGGUGAGUAACGCGUGAGCAACCUGUCUUUCAGAGGGGGAUAACAACGAGAAAUCGUUGCUAAUACCGCAUAAGACCACACUGUCGCAUGGCAGAGGGGUAAAAGGAGCAAUCCGCUGAUUGAGGGGCUCGCGUCCCAUUAGAUAGUAGGUGAGGUAACGGCUCACCUAGUCUGCGAUGGGUAGCCGAGCUGAGAGGCUGAACGGCCACACUGGAACUGAGACACGGUCCAGACUCCUACGGGAGGCAGCAGUGGGGAAUAUUGGGCAAUGGGCGAAAGCCUGACCCAGCAACGCCGCGUGAGGGAAGAAGGUCUUCGGAUUGUAAACCUCUGUUCUUGGUGACGAAAAAGAUGACGGUAGCCAAGGAGAAAGCCCCGGCUAACUACGUG
rnacentral:rRNA from 1 species